rnacentral:rRNA from 1 species
CCAAAGACUUAUCCAUGGGAGUCAGACUGCGAGUGAUAAGAUCCGUAGUCGAAAGGGAAACAGCCCAGACCACCAGC